rnacentral:misc_RNA from 1 species
AAGGAUCAUUAUCGAUUCAAACCAAAUGAGAGGGAAGUUGUCAUAGUAGUGCUGGCCUCUGUCAUGGAGGUAUUGUGCACGCUCGACUUCUUCCUUUCUUCAUUUACACACCUGUGAACUUGUUGUAGGGUUGUCUCGCAAGAGACGCUCUAUGUCUUUCUCAUAUACUCCAUAAUGUUUAUAGAAUGUACCUUUUUGCUCUCGUCAGAGACAAAAAUAAAGCC